rnacentral:rRNA from 1 species
ACACAUGCAAGUCGAACGAUGAUCUCCAGCUUGCUGGGGGGAUUAGUGGCGAACGGGUGAGUAACACGUGAGUAACCUGCCCUUGACUCUGGGAUAAGCCUGGGAAACUGGGUCUAAUACCGGAUAUGACCAUUCCACGCAUGUGGUGGUGGUGGAAAGCUUUUGCGGUUUUGGAUGGACUCGCGGCCUAUCAGCUUGUUGGUGGGGUAAUGGCCUACCAAGGCGACGACGGGUAGCCGGCCUGAGAGGGUGACCGGCCACACUGGGACUGAGACACGGCCCAGACUCCUACGGGAGGCAGCAGUGGGGAAUAUUGCACAAUGGGCGGAAGCCUGAUGCAGCGACGCCGCGUGAGGGAUGACGGCCUUCGGGUUGUAAACCUCUUUCAGUAGGGAAGAAGCGUAAGUGACGGUACCUGCAGAAGAAGCGCCGGCUAACUACGUGCCAGCAGCCGCGGUAAUACGUAGGGCGCAAGCGUUAUCCGGAAUUAUUGGGCGUAAAGAGCUCGUAGGCGGUUUGUCGCGUCUGCUGUGAAAGACCGGGGCUCAACUCCGGUUCUGCAGUGGGUACGGGCAGACUAGAGUGCAGUAGGGGAGACUGGAAUUCCUGGUGUAGCGGUGAAAUGCGCAGAUAUCAGGAGGAACACCGAUGGCGAAGGCAGGUCUCUGGGCUGUAACUGACGCUGAGGAGCGAAAGCAUGGGGAGCGAACAGGAUUAGAUACCCUGGUAGUCCAUGCCGUAAACGUUGGGCACUAGGUGUGGGGGACAUUCCACGUUUUCCGCGCCGUAGCUAACGCAUUAA